rfam:Oryza sativa (indica cultivar-group) chromosome 4, whole genome shotgun sequence.
UUUAAGUGCAACUAUGACUUUCCGUUCCAACUUUAAUCGUCCGUCUUAUUUAAAAUUUUUUUUAUAAUUAAUAUUUUUUUGUUGUUAUGAGAUGAUAAAAUAUGAAUAGUACUUUACUCGUGACUUAUGUUUUUAAUUUUUUUUAAAAAAUAUUUAAAUAAAAUAGAUAAUCAAAACUAGGAAAACAAAUAGCUGCACUUAAA